rnacentral:rRNA from 1 species
GAUGAACGCUAGCGGGAGGCCUAACACAUGCAAGCCGAGCGGUAUUGUUUCUUCGGAAAUGAGAGAGCGGCGUACGGGUGCGGAACACGCGUGCAACCUACCUUUAUCUGGAGGAUAGCCUUUCGAAAGGAAGAUUAAUACUCCAUAAUAUAUUGAUUGGCAUCAGUUGAUAUUGAAAGCUCCGGCGGAUAAAGAUGGGCACGCGCAAGAUUAGCUAGUUGGUGAGGUAACGGCUCACCAAGGCGAUGAUCUUUAGGGGCCUGAGAGGGUGAUCCCCCACACUGGUACUGAGACACGGACCAGACUCCUACGGGAGCAGGCAGUGAGGAAUAUUGGUCAAUGGGUGCAAGCCU